rnacentral:rRNA from 1 species
UUGGUUUAAGUUAGAAAGGGCGCACGGGUGGAAUGCCCUUGGCACUAAGGAAGGCCGGAAGAAGGACCGGGAACUAAACACCGAUAUGCUUUGGGAGAGCUGGUACGUUAAGCGUUGAUCCAGAGAAUUUACGAAAUGGGGGAACCCAUCUAUCGUUUAGUCGGAUAAGUAAUCCCUUACGUUGAAUACAUAGCCGUUGGAGGAAGCGCAAGACCUCAGGGAAACCUGAAACAAUCUUAAGUACCUUGGAGGAAGAGGAAAGGAAAAAAUCGAUUUCCUGAGUAGGCGGCGGAGCGAAACGGAAAGAGGCCCAAACCAUAGAAGCUUUGCUUUCUUGGGGGUUGGUAGGCAAGCUCUAUACGGAGUUACAAAAGAAUAGUAUAUAAAUGUAAAGCGGGUCUGGAAAGGCCCGCCAAAAGACGGGUAACAGUCCCUGGUAGUUGAAAUGGCUUUCCCUCCAGAGAGGGGGGGUGGAUCCUGAGUACUGGCCCGGAAACACGUGGAAAUUCCGUCGGAAAUCCGGGAGCGACCAUCUCCCCAAGCCUAAAUAACUCCCUAGUGAAUGCCGAAAGUGCAGAACGCAGGUUACCGUGAGGGGAAAGGUGAAAAAGGCACCCGCUGGAAGGGGAGGGUGGAAACUAGUUCCCUGAAACCGUGUGGGCCUAGCACAGUAGUUACGAGCCGCGUUAAUGGGUGGAAUCAGCGUGCCCCUUUGUAGAAUAGAACUGGCGGGCGAGUUACCGAUUUGUUGGCAAGGUUAAGUCGGAAAAAGGCGGAGGCCGUAGCGAAAGGCGAGUCUGAAAUUUAGGGGCGGCAUAAGUAAUCAGGUCGUAAGACCCCGAAACAAGGUUGAUCUAGCCCAUGUCCAGGUGAUGAAUGGUAAGGGUAAUACUUUAGCUUGGAGGUCCGAACCCACUGCACGUUGAAAAAGUGGCGCGGAUGAGGUGUGGGUAAGCUCGGAAGAAAUUCCCAAUCGAACUUGGGAGAUAGGCUGGGUUUCCUCUCGAAAAUAGCCUUUAGGGCUUACCCCUCUGAAGUAAAGAGUCCAUGGAAGGUAGAUGCAGCUGUUUGGACUAGGGGCCCUUCUCGGUUUUGAUUACCGAAUUCAGGAUAAACUUCCGAAAUUGCCAUGGGUACUUAUACUCGGGAGUCAGAGCUGCGAGUGGAUAAGAUCCGUAGUCGAAUAGGGAAAAAGCAGCCCCUAGAACAACCAGGUUUAAGGUCGCGCCCAAAUAAUAUGUUUAAGUGGAAAAGGAUGUGGGGUUUUUGGCUUAGACAAACCAAGGGCUGUAAUGUUUGUGCUUAAGAAGUCAGCCAGCCCAUUGAAAAGAGUGGCGUAAUAGCUCACUGCUGCGAGUGACCCCCGCGCCGAAAAUGUACCUGGGGCUAUAACACUAUUAAACUGAAACUGUGGAAUGUAACCUCUUUAAGAGGGUUCGUGGGGUAGGAAGAGCGUUCCUAAGGGCGGCUGAAGUCCAGUACCUGGGUAAAGGACUGGUGGGAGUGCGCUUUAGAAGUGAGAAUGCCGGUUAAUGAGAGUAGUCGAAAGAAGGGUGAGAAUCCCUUCCAACGCGGAAUUAUCUAUAAGGUUUCGCUGAGGAAAGGCUUCGUCCGCUUCAGGGUUAGUCCGGGACCUAAACCGAGCCCGAUAGGCGUAGGCGAUGGAACAUACAGGGUAGGAGAUUCCCCUGUACAAGUGCUAAUUGUUUAACCGUAUGGGGUGACAGCUAGAAAGGAUAAGGGAAUCGCACACGAAUGGGGAAAUGUGCGCCAACGGGCAGUGAGUUGGUGAGAAAGUCAGGCAAAUCCGCUUUCUCGCGAAGCAUGAGCUGUGAUGGGGAAGGAAAUGAAGUAGCGGAAAGUUCCUGAUUUUCAACGCUGUCAAUGAAAAAGGCCUCAAAGGAAGAGGUAAGUACUGCCCGUACGCGCAAACCGACAACAGGUGAUGAAGGAGAGAAUCCUAGGUGAGCGAGAGAACUCUCGUUACAGGAACUUCGGAAAAAUGACCCCCGUAACCUCGGCACGAAGGGGUGCUCUAUAGGGUCGCCCAAGCCCGAGAGAGCCGCAAGUUCGGGAAUAAGGCCCAGCAGGCGGAACUGGUUUAGCAAAAACAACAGGUCUCCUGGGGGAAAAAAAAAAAGCAAAACCCUAAGGUGACCGUAUAGCGGGCUGACGCCUGCCCGGUGCUUGGAAGGUUAAGAGGAAGUGGCUUUAGCCUUCGGCGAAAGGUACGAAUUGAAGGCCCGCAGUUAAACCGGGCGGCCCGUAACAUAAAUAACGGCUCCCCUAAAGGUAGCGAAAAUUCCGCUUGUCGGGUAAGUUCCGACGCGCGCAGCGAAAAGGCGCAACGAUGCUGGGCCACUGGUCUGCAACCGAGAGACUCGGUUUGAAACAUUAUAGUAAGCCUGUGAAGAUGCAGCGUUUAACCGCGACAGGACGGAAAGACCCCCCCGUGGCAGGCUUGACUGCGCAACCCGAAUAUCGGAAAUGUUUGUACCCGCCUUGUACAGGAUAAGGUAGGGAGACCCGAAGAAGACGUGGUGCGGCUAGCAUAGCGAGGGAGGCAAUGGUGGGAUAGCUACCCCUGGCUGGUACUGACCAUUCCUACACCCCCCACGCCUUAGCGGCGUGGGGAGACAGGGUCAGGUGGGGCAAGUGUUGACUGGGGCGGGUCCGGCCCUCCCUAAAGAGCUAACGGAGAGCGCCCAAAGGUUGCGCCGCAGAAUGGAUUGGAAAUCAUUCCGCAAGAGUGGUAAAGGCACAAGGGAGCCUCGACUGGCGAGACUGACAAGUGAGAGGCAGGGACGAAAGUCCGGGCUUUCAGUGAUCCGGCUGGGGUUCAGCAUGGAAGCGGCGCAUCGGCUCAACGGAUAAAAGCUACCCCGGGGAUAAUCAGGCUUAUCUCGCCCCCAAGAGUCCACAUCGACGGGGAGGUUUUAGGCAGCCUCCCGAUGUCCGGCUCGUCGCAUCCUGGGGCGCUGGUAGUCGGUCCCAAGGGUUGGGGCUUGUUCGCCCAUUAAAAGCGGGGCAGCGCGAGCAAUGGGUUCAGAACAAUCGUAAAGACAGUUCGGUCAACAAUACAGAACACAGGAAAGAAGAGCAGGAAAUUUUGAGAGGAGCUUGUCCUUAAGUAGCGAGAGGACCGGAAAUGGACACACCGCUGGUGGGUAACCAGUUGAUUCACAGACAGAAGGAGAGAGCAAAAAAAAGACAGAGGUAAGACUAAUGUGUGGCAAGGGAAAAAACGCUGAAAGCAACAUAAGAGGUGAAGCCCCCCUCAAGAUGAGAUUUCCCAUUUCUUCGGAAAGUAAGAUCCCUGAAAGAUGAUCAGGUAGAUAGGUUUGGAGUGGAAGUGUAGCGAUACAUGGAGCGGACAAAUACUAAUCGAUCGAGGACUUAACCAAAA